GACAGAGGAGCCAAGCGUUGUCCGGAUUGACUGGGCGUAAAGCGCACGCAGGCGGCCGUGCACGUGGGGUGUGAAAGCUGGCGGCUUAACUGCCAGACGCCACCUCAUACGGCACGGCUCGAGCCCGUGAGAGGUCCACGGAAUUGCCGGUGUAGUGGUGAAAUGCGUAGAUAUCGAGAGGAACACCUGCGGCGAAGGCGGGUUGCUGGGCUGACACUGACGCUGAGGAGCGAAAGCGUGGGGAGCGAACAGG
rnacentral:rRNA from 1 species